rnacentral:rRNA from 1 species
AUACGAAGGGGGCUAGCGUUGUUCGGAAUCACUGGGCGUAAAGCGCACGUAGGUGGAUCAAUCAGUUGAGGGUGAAAUCCCGGGGCUCAACCUCGGAACUGCCUUCAAUACUGUUGGUCUUGGGUCCGAGAGAGGUGAGUGGAAUUCCUAGUGUAGAGGUGAAAUUCGUAGAUAUUAGGAAGAACACCAGUGGCGAAGGCGGCUCACUGGCUCGGUACUGACGCUGAGGUGCGAAAGCGUGGGGAGCAAACAGGAUUAGAAACCCGAGUAGUCC